GAUGAACGCUGGCGGCGUGCCUAAUACAUGCAAGUCGAGCGAACAGACGAGGAGCUUGCUCCUCUGACGUUAGCGGCGGACGGGUGAGUAACACGUGGAUAACCUACCUAUAAGACUGGGAUAACUUCGGGAAACCGGAGCUAAUACCGGAUAAUAUAUUGAACCGCAUGGUUCAAUAGUGAAAGACGGUUUUGCUGUCACUUAUAGAUGGAUCCGCGCCGCAUUAGCUAGUUGGUAAGGUAACGGCUUACCAAGGCAACGAUGCGUAGCCGACCUGAGAGGGUGAUCGGCCACACUGGAACUGAGACACGGUCCAGACUCCUACGGGAGGCAGCAGUAGGGAAUCUUCCGCAAUGGGCGAAAGCCUGACGGAGCAACGCCGCGUGAGUGAUGAAGGUCUUCGGAUCGUAAAGCUCUGUUAUUAGGGAAGAACAAAUGUGGAAGUAACUAUGCACGUCUUGACGGUACCUAAUCAGAAAGCCACGGCUAACUACGUG
rnacentral:rRNA from 1 species